GUGAGCUUAAAUAUCACAAUCCUUGUGGCAAACAAGAAAAGUAGAAAAUACCAGUGGCAGGAAGCAAAACUCAGUGACAAGCUUGAAAGUGAGUAUCAGCUUCUGAUAUACAAGUUUCUACACAUGUUCACUUGCCUAAAGAAGAAUAAACUUCAACCUAAUAGCGUUCCAGAAAUACUGCCCCAGGUAUUAAAAGAUGGCACGGACACUUUCGACCUCUUCUGCCAAUGGGAAAGCGAUAGCCGUCCCGGCUCUGAAAUAAAAAUACAAACAAAUGGAAAAAGGCGAGGUGCUGCUGUGAGGUUAGUUCCGCAGAAGGUACUCAACGCGACGCUGUGUUGUUGGUAAGCUCGCCCUUAAUCUCAGCUGAUGAGGACACAGAGA
rnacentral:lncRNA from 1 species